rnacentral:tRNA from 1 species
GGAUGGGUGGCCGAGCGGUUUAAGGCACCGGUCUUGAAAACCGGCGUAGGUGCAAGCCUACCGUGGGUUCGAAUCCCACCCCAUCCGCCA